rnacentral:rRNA from 1 species
UUAAAUUGAAGAGUUUGAUCAUGGCUCAGAUUGAACGCUGGCGGCAGGCCUAACACAUGCAAGUCGAACGGUAACAGGAAGAAGCUUGCUUCUUUGCUGACGAGUGGCGGACGGGUGAGUAAUGUCUGGGAAACUGCCUGAUGGAGGGGGAUAACUACUGGAAACGGUAGCUAAUACCGCAUAACGUCGCAAGACCAA